rnacentral:pre_miRNA from 1 species
AAUAUACUCCCUCCGUUCCAAAUUACUCGUCACAUAAAUGAAUGUAUCUAUAACUAAAAUACAUAUAGAUACAUCCAUUUUUACGACGAGUAAUUCGGAACGGAGAAAGUAAAAA